CGGAGGAUCCAAGCGUUAUCCGGAUUUAUUGGGUUUAAAGGGUGCGUAGGCGGCCUGUUAAGUCAGGGUGAAGACGGUAGCUCAACUAUCGCAGUGCCCUUGAUACUGACGGGCUUGAAUGAACUAGAGGUAGGCGGAAUGUGACAAGUAGCGGUGAAAUGCAUAGAUAUGUCACAGAACACCGAUUGCGAAGGCAGCUUACUAUGGUUUAUUGACGCUGAGGCACGAAAGCGUGGGAUCAAACAGGAUU
rnacentral:rRNA from 1 species